GCACCUGCCCCACAGGUGAAGGCAGCCCCUGAGCCCAGUGUGGAGGCAGCUGCCUGGUCAGGUGUGAGCCACCCAGAGAGGUGGGCCCUCCUCCCUGCUCCCCUUCACCUGCGAGGCUUCCGGAAGAUGCAUCAUCGGCAGGAGUCCUUUCGGCUGACAACCAGCCCCUGCAGGAAAAGUGGACUCUGGGAAAGUUUCAGAGACAGAGAGCGCCCAGACACUGCCCCACUUUUAAAAAUUGUUUUAACUAUGAACUUCUAACAUUCGGCCACCAAUAGUAUCUGUUUGCACACAUGCCGUUCUUAUCUGCGGCCCAACAGCUUUGCAAAACCGAGACGCAAUAAUCCAUUUGAAGAUAUGGUCACAUUUAUGUCAGUUCUCCUCACACACAAACACUUAUCCUGCCUCUUAGAGCUCUUCAUUUCCAGCACGACUCCCAUUUCCAUGGAUGUUUUAUAAGGUUUCAGAAGGAUGAGUGUCUACCCCAAGCCUGAAGAGCGUGGACGGCCGAGCUCCUGGCAAAGGCCGGACACGACACGUAUGCGUGUUACACACACUGUUGCAGCAGCUACCGCGGAUACCGGCUCCAAACACAUACCCUGCAGAAUCCAGCUCAGUAUCUGUCUCUCUCAACUCCCGUGUCUCUGUGCCCACCGUCCCUGGCACCUGAGAGCCGGCCUGGGUGGCAUAUUCAGGCAGAGGAACUAAACAGAUGGUGAUGCAGCUGAAGAGUCUUCAAGGAAGGAAACCAAGAGAAACACCUUGG
rnacentral:lncRNA from 1 species